UCGUAGCAUUAGUCUGUCAUUGAUGAAAACACCCGCACUACAUGUAUUACGUGAUUUCAUUAGUCUCAAGUCGCUAUUUCAAGUCUAUAAUUAUAAGCCUCAAUAAAUACGAGAGCUGUGGUGGUGGCCUGCUUCCCGUCUGCCAAUCAGAGCGUUCUAUUUUUUUUCCGUUUUCUUUCGUAUUCUUCGUAAAGCUUAUGUGUCCUUCAUUUGUCGUUACUUCUUGCCUCACAGUGUAUUGGUAAAUGUCUUCUACUUGUAAUAAUAAUCGUGAUUCUAUUAUUUUGUAUCAUUACAAGUAGUAUUGCGAGAGUGGCUCCGUUCUUAGUGACAAUUACCUCAGCACAGCCUUCACCAAUCAGCGCCAAGUAUUCAAGUCACGUGAUACUCUCUCCUCUCCGUCUCCUCAGCCAUUUGCCCUGCGCCCGCUGACGUGACGAGUCUCCGGUUGUGUUAUGGCGGUGAAACGGUGUUGCGCCUGUCCCUGGCGGGCAUGCUGUGGUGGACUGCGGUGAGGAGGGAGAGGUGGAUGUGACCCAUGAACUACCCCUAACAAUGUGAUGAAGAACCAGAAGUGGGUUGUAGGUGACGAGAUAACUAUCCCAGGUCAUCCCGGAAGUGGCGAGGUGAUCCCAUACAACUCCACAAGGUCGUGGAGGACGCCAGGCAUAGCCACGUGGUCACCUACACUCAGCCAUCCACCUCACCUGCCCUAGACUGCUACCCAGACACGAUCCAGCCACAAGAACCCAGAUAAGCACUUCACGGGUCCUUGGUUGUGGUUAGCUAGCUAGUUUGUUUAGGGGUCACUUGCUGUAGAUAAGAACCCUCCUCGGUCUGCUGCAAUUAUUUUUUUUUUUUUUGUGGUGUAACGCUGUGCUCUACGUAAGAGUGAUAGUGAUUGGUGUAACGCUGUACUCUAUGUGAGAGUGAUAGUGUUUGGUGUAACGCUGUGCUCUACGUGAGUGAUAGUGUUUAUCUUUAUUUUAUUUAUUUAUUUUUUUUCCUGAAGACCAGUUCUGAGGUUAUCUGGAGGUUAAAGGAGAAGAGUUCUUCACACCUGUGUUUUUUCUUUUUAUUUAUUGGUCACUUUUUGUUUUUUGUUGUGAUUGUUAUUUAUUUAUUUUAUUUUUUUUUAUUGAAAUAUGUGAGUGCGAAUGCAGCACAAUAUAUAAAGGUGUGCAUUCCAGAGUGGAAGGAAGGCGUGCACAGGGUAGAGUGAACAGGAUGCAGUGCCUUUUUUUUAUCAUCAGACCCUGAUUGAUUGAAGCAAAUGAAAACUUUAGUGUGAGUACCUUACAAAGACACUUGACAAUACUAAUGUCACCUCACCUCGUGGUUUCACCUUAAACCUACAAACAUUGGCUGGACACAAGGUCAUAGAAAUAAUUUAUUCUCAUUUAUUCUCAUCUUUACAAAUUACAGUCUUUACACAUUAAAGUAACUAAUCACCUUUAUUCAUCCACUUGCGGGGGGUUGAAGGAUCGCUAAUCCCAUGUUAAAUUGCCUGUGUUCAACUCGCAUCUCCUCCCUCAUUUAUUGACCAAUUCAUUAAAAAAAUAUAUAUAUUUUUAUCAGGAAGGUUGGAAGAAGAAUGUCUGAUAUUUUUAUCAGGAAGGUUGGAAGAAGAAUGUCUGCUAUCUUUUUUUUUUUUUUUUUGUACGAUAAGAUUUUUUUUUUUCGAUGAAAAAGUAAAAAAAACUGUGUCAAAUAUUUACUUUCAAAUAUUUGUCAGAAAUCAAAAUCAGUUACAAACAAACAUGACGACAGCAGACUUUGUUCGCCUCUCACAGUUUGAUAAGCAGCAAUAGCCCAUCUAUGUGUAACAGCAAUAACAACGGAGAUAAUUUUUAUAUGCCAAAAUCCGCCAUUUUAAGUUAUGUCAAAGUUUAAGGGGUUGACUAUAAUUCACAUAUUGCAGCUAAGGACUUGAAAUUCACAUAUAUACAUCAGAAUAUGUUGAAAAAAGCAGACAUAGAUUAAUUUAGUUUAGUUACUCUGAUUGGUUUUGUACAAAGGCCUAAAGCGAUUCAUGAUUUCACCCUUAAUUACCGUGGGGGGGGGGGAAGGCGGGUGAAAAUAAUUUGUUAUAUUUCGACUUAUUUUUAGAUAAAAACCAGUGUUUAACUGUUUAAAUAUAAAUAAAAUAUUAAUGCAAAAGAUAUCUAAUGCAGACACAUUGAUUAUUUGCUAGAUUUACGGAAAAAUAAUUUUAUAUUUCGUUUAUAAAUAAAAAAAAACUAAAAUUUCGUGCUCUCUAGUGUUGUACGCAGCAAAAGAACCGUAGAUAUUCAUAGGAGACUGAAGAAGAACGGGUAUGUCCGAAAAAAAAAAAAAAAUCGGAAAAGAAAAAAAAUUGUCAUACAUGUCUCGCGGUGAAAACGUGGAAUUUCUUAACAGAAGACCUCUUUACAUAAGGGAUUUUUUUUUUUUUAUCAAAACGUUACAUAUAUCAAGUGGAAAAAAUGUAGAAAAUUACAAAAAAAAAAAAAAAAUAAAUUUCACGUCUGGAUUGUACAACACCCUUGAUGCAAAAAAUGUUUGCGCGCCUGACGUUGUUAACACACACGACACUCUUCCCUUGAGAAAAGAUGGUACCCUUCACGAGUGUCUUACUAUUUCUUUGCAGAGCCCCUCUUCUUGAUGACGACGCGUACACUGUCAGCUACACUUUGCAGCGUCUCUCACUUAAAUUUUUCUCAAUAUCUUUGUAUCUCCAUUUCAGAUAAAUUGUUCUUUUCCAAGGGUUGAGGAGAACAUGGUCGUGGUUCAAGUGAAGCCCCUACAGCCACUCCCUGACAAGUCUUCCACACUGACAGUGGCAGCAGACACAAUAGAGGAUGGUGUGGUGGACAAGAGGAUGCAGGGAGACGGCAGACAGAAUGGAAGCUACAGAUGAAAGAAGAGCAGGUCAAGCCAUGGCAGCAGACAGACAGAGAGACAGAUUGGAUAAGAAAGAAGUAUUAUUUAGUGAGACAGGCCCACUGGAAGCUGUCAGAGUGCUGUGGCACGUGGCAAGAACCAAGUGUUCAGGAGCACACACUGUCCCUUCACCAGUCAGCAGGUCUGGGCGGCUUGGAAGUCUCACUACAAACUGAAGACCCGUUCACUUGAAGGACACAGUUGGAGUCGUACACAAGAUCCAAGAGGGAGUCAUUUUAAAUGAGAGCUUCAGGCAGAAAAUUCGAGUGGAUUUUCAACUCUAAAAUUUUAAUUUUUUAUGUUUUGGAUAUUUUGAACCUUAUUUAUCUUGAAAAAUAACUCCAGAUAUUAUGACUCAAGCUGGAAGUUGACCUGAGCAAUGUAGGGUUUGCUGCAGUGAGAUUACCAAGGCAUGAGUGUCUGGCAUUUAAAGAUGAUGGAUAUGUAUCCUGUGUGCUGCUGUGCUGGGAGGAGAGGAGCAGCAGCAGUCGUGGGGCUCUGCUGCUGCUGUCACUGGUGCAGCUGUUCACUCCUGCAGCUACCUUCCCUCAACAUACUGUGUCUUCCCUCACUUGCAAUGAACAACUAUGAACAAUACUUCUCCUGCGAUGAGGAACAGUGAAUAACACUCUCUCUCUCUCUCUCUCUCUCUCUCUCUCUCUCUCUCUCUCUCUCUCUCUCUCUCCCCACAGUAUGUCCCCCACAGUAUGUUUACAAACCCACAGUUGCUCUCUCUACAAACCCACAGUUGCUCUCUCCACAGCCCCUCACCAACAAUUGUCUCCUUCACACACACACACACAAAUGUUAGAAUCUUGUAGUGUCUACAAUAAGGAAUGGAACCAAAAUCGACAAGCCAAAUUUUCUUCCAGCCUGCGUGAAUGUAGUGAGGUUCAAUGUGUGUGUACAAGUGAAGAGUAUAUAUUAGAUGCACGACUCAAAAAUAUGAGGCUUACACAAAAAUACAGGACACAACUUGAUGAGUGUGGUGAGUCAAGGGGGAGUCAAAAUGCUCAACUUUGAAGUAACUUACAACAAAAAGUAACUAAAUAAACACACUAUAAGAA